rnacentral:rRNA from 1 species
UAAUAGUGUAUAUUAAAGUUGUUGCAGUUAAAAAGCUCGUAGUUGAAUGUUGGUGUCGAACGAGCGGUCAGCUUCGGCUGUACUGCUCUCUCGACUCCUUCCUUCUGUGGACUACGUCGCACUUUACUGUGUGGCGCUAGGACGCAGAUCGUUUACUGUGAAAAAAUUAGAGUGUUCAAAGCAGGCCGUACGCUUGAAUACAUUAGCAUGGAAUAAUGGAAUAGGACGUCGGGCCUAUUUUGUUGGUUCUAGGACCGUCGUAAUGAUUAAUAGGGACAGUUGGGGCCGUUUAUAUCCCGUAGUCAGAGGUGAAAUUCUUGGAUUUACGGAAGAUAAACUACUGCGAAAGCAUUCGGCAAGGAUGUUUUCGUUAA